GUGUAUGUGUGUGUUAGUGUAUGCAGUGUAUGUGUGUUAGUGAAUGCAGUGUAUGUGUGUGUUAUUGUAUGCAGUGUGUGUUGUUAGUGUAUGCAGUGUGUGUGUUGUGUUAGUGAAUGCAGUGUGUGUGUGUUAGUGUAUGCAGUGUAUGUGUGUGUUAUUGUAUGCAGUGUGUGUGUUGUGUUAGUGUAUGCAGUGUAUGUGUGUGUUAUUG